UACGGGGGGGGCAAGCGUUGUUCGGAAUUACUGGGCGUAAAGGGCUCGUAGGCGGCCAACUAAGUCGGAUGUGAAAUCCCCAGGCUUAACCUGGGAACUGCAUCCGAUACUGGAUGGCUUGAAUCCGGGAGAGGGAUGCAGAAUUCCAGGUGUAGCGGUGAAAUGCGUAGAUAUCGGGAGGAACACCUGUGGCGAAAGCGGCUCACUGGACCACAACUGACGCUGAGGCGCGAAAGCUAGGGGAGCAAACAGG
rnacentral:rRNA from 1 species